GCGUCACACCGCGACAAGUGUCAGAUGUCAGUUUGUAGCUUCAUGUCACCUCCACUGGCUUCCAUUGAAAAUGACCUGUAGCCUGCUGCUUUGUCGCUGGUAGUCUGAACACACAGUCUAUCACUUUAAUCAACCCAAAUCUCAUGCACUGAUCCCUGAACGGUUAACAGGCCUUUUGAGCAGCUGGGGAGGCUGACCUGUUGUCCCCUGGCACAACAUGUAGGAACAGGAUGACGGCGAUGGCAGAGAUGUAACACCACAUCAAGAGGGAACGAAUGAGCUGGGGCGCAAGCACUACACUCUGUCCUGCAGUUCAGGCAUCCUCCAUGGCCUGAUGGACCCACAGAGAGAUGAAAAGCGAGGAUUGGAGGGCCAGUGGCAGAGAACCCGGCCAAGGGAGGAUGAAAGAGACUGGUGCUGUUGGACAUUUUUAGUAUCCCACUCCUGUUUUAUGUGUACUUUUAAGACUCCCUCUGCUUCUGAGGACUUUUAGUAAUUAGUGGGCAAUAUCUUAUUUAUCUUUUUUUUUUAAUUACUCUUACUUUUUUGUGUGCAUGAAUGAUGUAAGGUAUGUAAGUAAGUAUGUUUGAGAGAUAAAUGUUUUGUGAUGCAGCAAUACUGAGCCCAAGAAAGAUUUCCCUAAGGAUAUCUUAUCUUACCUCAGUAUUCAUACCCCUAGAUUUGAUUUAGUUUAAUUAUUUUCAGCUAGCUUUUAUUCUUUUAUAUAAUGUUAUCGAAUCUGGCCUAUUUGACAACAUUUUGCAAUAUUUUGUACUGAAUAUUCAACAUUGACUGUGUUGUCCUUGAGUUCCAAGCUGCUCUUUCCUCGAUUUUAAUAGAACCUUUGUGCUAGCUUCCUGGACUUCAAAAAGUCUGGGUGUGUGGUGGUUUUUAUUUAUUCUUAUUUUACAUUUAUCUAUUUUAUUAUUUUAAUUUGUGUCAUUAAGUACACCCACCCCGAAGACUACAAUUACAGUGCACUUAUUUGGAAGAUGCUUUGGUCCAAAGUGACUUGCAAUAAGUGUAUUGAUCCUAUUGGUGCAUGAUUAUAUACUACAAUAAAUAAAGUAUAAGAAAUGAA